GAUGAACGCUGGCGGCGUGCCUAAUACAUGCAAGUCGAGCGAACGGACGAGAAGCUUGCUUCUCUGAUGUUAGCGGCGGACGGGUGAGUAACAUGUGGAUAACCUACCUAUAAGACUGGGAUAACUUCGGGAAACCGGAGCUAAUACCGGAUAAUAUUUUGAACCGCAUGGUUCAAAAGUGAAAGACGGUCUUGCUGUCACUUAUAGAUGGAUCCGCGCUGCAUUAGCUAGUUGGUAAGGUAACGGCUUACCAAGGCAACGAUGCAUAGCCGACCUGAGAGGGUGAUCGGCCACACUGGAACUGAGACACGGUCCAGACUCCUACGGGAGGCAGCAGUAGGGAAUCUUCCGCAACGGGCGAAAGCCUGACGGAGCAACGCCGCGUGAGUGAUGAAGGUCUUCGGAUCGUAAAACUCUGUUAUUAGGGAAGAACAUAUGUGUAAGUAACUGUGCACAUCUUGACGGUACCUAAUCAGAAAGCCACGGCUAACUACGUG
rnacentral:rRNA from 1 species